AGUGCACCUGGGCCAGUCAGACCUAAUGGCCAACGUGUUAAUCAGCUCUUUGAAAAAAACUUCUUCACCUUUCAUCUCUCAUGAUAUUGAGGGAACAGGAAAAUAUUUUACCAUUUAACUCCAGGCCUUGCCAACAGUUUUAGCAGAGCAUUAAUCCCAUAAAUCAGUCAUGCCUUGUGCUCUCCACAGGCUCUGCAGUUGGUGAACAGCAGAUAAGCCCUUACAGGGUGUUCUGAAAGCCAGGGAAAUACAUCUGUGUCAGAUCAAAGGCGGAGCUGAGUUCCAGGGUUGGAUCUGUCCUGCCAGUAGCCCAGUCUUGUUUUGACCAGAGAAUGAAGAUUAAUAGACCUUUUAAUUGUAUUCAAGCAAGUACAUUAUGAGAUUAUCACCUCAGAAGUGCCAAGCCAUUUAGCCUAAAAGGGAAAAGAAACCUGAUUUCUUCUGUAAACCUGGAAAAAUACUUUUCUAGCUAAAAAAAACCAAAACAAAUUUCUA